AAUGAACGCUGGCGGCAGGCCUAACACAUGCAAGUCGAGCGGAGCGGCGGACGGGAGGGUAAUGCCUAGGAAUCUGCCCGGUAGUGGGGGAUCACGUCCGGAAACGGGCGCGAAUAACGCACACUUUCAGAUGAGCCGAGUGCGGAUUAGCUAGUUGGUGGGGUAAAGGCCUACCAAGGCGACGAUCCGUAACUGGUCUGAGAGGAUGAUCAGGCACACUGGAACGGAGACACGGUCCAGACUCCUACGUGAGGCAGCAGUGGGGAAUAUUGGACAAUGGGCGAAAGCCUGAUCCAGCCAUGCCGCGUGUGUGAAGAAGGUCUUCGGAUUGUAAAGCACUUUAAGUUGGGAGGCGUUACCAACAGAAUAAGCACCGGCUAACUUCGUGCCAGCAGCCGCGGUAAUAC
rnacentral:rRNA from 1 species